rnacentral:rRNA from 1 species
AUUGAACGCUGGCGGCAUGCCUUACACAUGCAAAUCGAACGGCAGCACGGGAGCAAUCCUGGUGGCGAGAGGCGAACGGGUGAGUAAUGUAUCGGAACGUGCCCAGUCGUGGGGGAUAACGUAGCGAAAGCUACGCUAAUACCGCAUACGAUCUAUGGAUGAAAGCGGGGGACCGUAAGGCCUCGCGCGAUUGGAGCGGCCGAUAUCAGAUUAGGUAGUUGGUGGGGUAAAGGCCUACCAAGCCGACGAUCUGUAGCUGGUCUGAGAGGACGACCAGCCACACUGGGACUGAGACACGGCCCAGACUCCUACGGGAGGCAGCAGUGGGGAAUUUUGGAAAAUGGGCGCAAGCCUGAUCCAGCAAUGCCGCGUGCAGGAUGAAGGCCUUCGGGUUGUAAACUGCUUUUGUACGGAGCGAAAAGGCUCUCUCUAAUACAGGGGGCUCAUGACGGUACCGUAAGAAUAAGCACCGGCUAACUACGUGCCAGCAGCCGCCGUAACAC